GACGAACGCUGGCGGCGUGCCUAAUACAUGCAAGUCGAACGAGAGCGACCGGUGCUUGCACUGGUCAAUCUAGUGGCGAACGGGUGAGUAACACGUGGGUAACCUGCCCAUCAGAGGGGGAUAACAUCCGGAAACGGAUGCUAAAACCGCAUAGGUCUUCGAGCCGCAUGGCUUGAAGAGGAAAAGAGGCGCAAGCUUCUGCUGAUGGAUGGACCCGCGGUGCAUUAGCUAGUUGGUGAGGUAACGGCUCACCAAGGCCGUGAUGCAUAGCCGACCUGAGAGGGUGAUCGGCCACAUUGGGACUGAGACACGGCCCAAACUCCUACGGGAGGCAGCAGUAGGGAAUCUUCCGCAAUGGACGCAAGUCUGGCGGAGCAACGCCGCGUGAGUGAAGAAGGUUUUCGGAUCGUAAAACUCUGUUGUUAGAGAAGAACAAGUGCUAGAGUAACUGUUAGCGCCUUGACGGUAUCUAACCAGAAAGCCACGGCUAACUACGUG
rnacentral:rRNA from 1 species